rnacentral:rRNA from 1 species
GUGUCAGCCGCCGCGGUAAUACGGAGGGUGCAAGCGUUAUCCGGAUUCAUUGGGUUUAAAGGGUGCGCAGGCGGAUACUUAAGUCAGUGGUGAAAUCCCGGGGCUCAACCCCGGAACUGCCAUUGAUACUGAAUAUCUGGAAUACGGUUGAAGUGGGCGGAAUGUAGCAUGUAGCGGUGAAAUGCAUAGAGAUGCUACAGAACACCGAUCGCGAAGGCAGCUCACUAAGCCGAUAUUGACGCUCAGGCACGAAAGCGUGGGGAGCGAACAGGAUUAGAUACCCUGGUAGUCCACGCCGUAAACGAUGAUAACUCGUUGUUGGCGACACACAGUCAGCGACUAAGCGAAAGCGAUAAGUUAUCCACCUGGGGAGUACGAUCGCAAGGUUGAAACUCAAAUGAAUUGACGG